UGUAAUCCUAGACACUUUGGAAGCUGAGACCAGAAAGAUCACAGUUUGAAGCCAACCUGGAACAAAAGUUUGCAAGAUUCCAUCUCAGUGGAAGAAGCUGAGCAUUCUUCAUGUGCCUAUUAUCUUAGCUAUGUGGGAGAUGUCAAAUAGGAGGGUGGUGGUCCCAAAAUAAUCCUAGGCAAAAAGCAAAACUACCUGAAAAAUAAUCCAUGCAGAAAGAAGAGGAGAUGCACUUUCCCAGAAAGUGUGAAGUUUUGAAUUCAAACCAUAGUAUUUGCAACAAAAACAGUCAAAUGAAUUACUGAUAUUGUUUUUUUCAAGUUCUUGUUUUCCUAGCCCCACUCAGCAUUCAUUCUCAUCUGAGGAAUCCCAGCUGCCCCAUCUCCUGCCUGAGCAGGGCCCAUGCAGGAGUAUUCUUUUCCUAAUUGCCAGGAGCAUAUGUAGGAAGGAAAAGAGUACAGUCAUAUUUAUCCACACACAUGAUUUGCUCAACUCUCCAAUAGAUUCACCUCAGCACCUAACAUCUUAUGGGUUUACUUUCAUUUUCCUCUCUUUCAUUUUAUUUGCCUCAUCAUGAAUGAUAUUUCUUUGUAGGUGUUGGGGGUAUUGUACAUGCUAGACAAAACCUCUGCCACUAAACUACAUCUAGCUACACCCAAAGUACAACUGAAUUAUAAUAGUAAAUUGUCCUAAUAUAGAACUCAGUUUUGCUUCUCCAGGGAAUUGGUAACUGAUCAACAACCCAUCAAGAUACAUAAUUUGUGCUAAGCACAGUUACGCAGUAUUUCAAUGUGAUUUUGACUAGGACACCACAAAAAGCAAAAUAAGAUGUAUAACUACAUCCAAAUCCAAGUGUUUUUAGAGCCUAGACCUGUGUGAUUUCUUUGAGCCAGUCUUGAGCUCCACACAAAGCCACCAAGCUAAUCUCUUAGCUGUGAGUUAACAUGUUCCCUCCUCCACAGUGGAGCCCUAUCAGGCUCCUCCUGCCCAAGCCCCUUUUCUCUGAGGGGGCAGAACCUUUGCUGUGGUUCUAAGUCCACGUUUCUAGAGUCCAUUAAGCAGAGAAAUUGGUCUCUAUGCCCCUGAACACACACAAACAUAUUCAAAACCUACUUUCUAUCAUCCUUUAGUACAAGUCAUUGAUCUAAAGCAAGAGCAGAAAAGGUUCUAAUUGAAAGAGGGUUGCAAAUAUCUGGUGAUAGGCCUGGUUGAAAGGGGCUUGGUAGAUAUGCCUACCUGGUUCAUCUCUAGUGUUCAUCUCCAUGUUCCUAAGUCCUUUUCCUCAUAUCUAAAAUACUCUUUCCCACCUAAAUUCCUUCCCUGGCCUACAAACCACACGAAAUGCCACUUGAAAACCAUAAACCAUGGGUUUCACAAUAGCUAACAUCACCUCCCAUACUCCUAUACUGGCAUUGUUCUCAUUGAAUUCAUAAAGAGACAUAGAACUGAUUCUCUGUAACUUGACUUAAUUACAAUUCUAAUGUAUUUUUAACAUAUGCAAUCAAAAGAUUCCUGAUAUCCUGAAGGAAAUUUGCUCUUAAGUCAUAAUUAAGGAUCCUUGUGAUGUGUAAACAACAGAAUUGUUUAUACCUCUUCAACUGCUCUUGGCAGUUCUCAAGGGGGUUUUACGUAGAGGAAAUGUCACAUAGUUCUUCAACAGGAGGAUGAAAAUAGAGAGGAAAACUAAACACUCAGCACUGUAUCAUCUGCCUGGGCUCCAG